rnacentral:rRNA from 1 species
UGAGGAAUAUUGGUCAAUGGGCGAGAGCCUGAACCAGCCACGUCGCGUGAAGGAAGACUGACCUUACGGUUUGUAAACUUCUUUUGUAGAGGGGUAAUGGCAGAUACGUGUAUUUGCGUGAAAGUACUCUACGAAUAAGCAUCGGCUAACUCCGUGCCAGCAGCCGCGGUAAUACGGGGGAUGCGAGCGUUAUCCGGAAUUAUUGGGUUUAAAGGGUGCGCAGGUGGCUAAUCAGGUCAGUGGUGAAAAGCUAUGGCUCAACCAUGGUCUUGCCAUUGAAACCGUAUAGCUAGAGAGGAGACGAGGUAGGCGGAAUGUGUGGUGUAGCGGUGAAAUGCAUAGAUAUCACACAGAACUCCGAUUGCGAAGGCAGCUUACCAGACUUUAUCUGACACUUAGGCACGACAGCGUGGGGAUCAAACAGG